GACCAGACUCCUACGGGAGGCAGCAGUAGGGAAUAUUGCUCAAUGGGGGAAACCCUGAAGCAGCAACGCCGCGUGAAGGAAGAAGGCUUUCGGGUUGUAAACUUCUUUUGUCAGGGACGAAGCAAGUGACGGUACCUGACGAAUAAGCCACGGCUAACUACGUGCCAGCAGCCGCGGUAAUACGUAGGUGGCAAGCGUUAUCCGGAUUUAUUGGGUGUAAAGGGCGUGUAGGCGGGAAUGCAAGUCAGAUGUGAAAUCCGGGGGCUCAACCCCCGAACUGCAUUUGAAACUGUUGGUCUUGAGUAUCGGAGAGGCAGGCGGAAUUCCUAGUGUAGCGGUGAAAUGCGUAGAUAUUAGGAGGAACACCAGUGGCGAAGGCGACUUUCUGGACUGUACCUGACGCUGAGGCGCGAAAGCGUGGGUAGCGAACGGGAUUAGAUACCCGAGUA
rnacentral:rRNA from 1 species